rnacentral:tRNA from 1 species
UGAUUAUUGGCUCAGAUGGUAAAGCGUCUGCCUGCAAUGCGGGAGACCUGGGUUCGAUUCCUGGGUCAG